ACGAACGCUGGCGGCGUGCUUAACACAUGCAAGUCGAACGGUGAAGCGAGUGCUUGCACUCGUGGAUCAGUGGCGAACGGGUGAGUAACACGUGAGUAACCUGCCCAUCACUCUGGGAUAAGCACUGGAAACGGUGUCUAAUACUGGAUACGACCAACCCUUGCAUGGGGUGUUGGUGGAAAGAUUUAUCGGUGAUGGAUGGACUCGCGGCCUAUCAGCUUGUUGGCGGGGUAAUGGCCCACCAAGGCGACGACGGGUAGCCGGCCUGAGAGGGUGACCGGCCACACUGGGACUGAGACACGGCCCAGACUCCUACGGGAGGCAGCAGUGGGGAAUAUUGCACAAUGGGCGAAAGCCUGAUGCAGCGACGCAGCGUGAGGGAUGACGGCCUUCGGGUUGUAAACCUCUUUCAGCAGGGAAGAAGCGAAAGUGACGGUACCUGCAGAAGAAGCACCGGCUAACUACGUG
rnacentral:rRNA from 1 species